GGACAUGAGGAAGAUCUGACUGCAACAUCUGUCACCCCAUUGAUCACCAGGGUAGAAUUGGCUGCUCAGGCUGGAUAGGCAGGUAUGCCAUUUCUCCCUCAAUACUCCAUGUGCAUCCCUCUUGAAACUGCACACUCAUUCAAAGAGGACAGUCUUCUCCAAAUAGAGAUGAACUGUUCUUCAGUAAAGGGUACAUGAGUAGCUGUGCUCCUCUGCUAGAACAAACUCUCAAGGAAUACACCUAAAAUAGACUUCCUAGCUUCUUCCUACAGGAAGACCCUCCCUUACCUCCAUCUGUUCUACUCU
rfam:Erinaceus europaeus unplaced genomic scaffold scaffold00992, whole genome shotgun sequence